rnacentral:rRNA from 1 species
GACGGGUGAGUAACGCGUGGGUAACCUGCCUUAUACAGGGGAUAACAGUCAGAAAUGGCUGCUAAUACCGCAUAAGCGCACAGAGCUGCAUGGCUCAGUGUGAAAAACUCCGGUGGUAUAAGAUGGACCCGCGUUGGAUUAGCUAGUUGGUGGGGUAACGGCCCACCAAGGCGACGAUCCAUAGCCGGCCUGAGAGGGUGAACGGUCACAUUAGGACUGAGACACGGCCCAGACUCCUACGGGAGGCAGCAUG